rnacentral:rRNA from 1 species
ACGCUGGCGGCGUGCCUAACACAUGCAAGUCGAACGGGGAUUUGUUUCGGCAGAAUCCUAGUGGCGAACGGGUGAGUAACGCGUAGGCAACCUGCCCCCCGGGUUGGGACAACACCCCGAAAGGGGUGCUAAUACCGGAUACGAAGAUAACACCGCAUGGUGUUAUUUUGAAAGAUAGCCUCUAUUUAUAAGCUAUCGCCGGGGGAUGGGCCUGCGUCCGAUUAGCUGGUUGGUGGGGUAACGGCCUACCAAGGCGACGAUCGGUAGCCGGUCUGAGAGGAUGAACGGCCACAUUGGGACUGAGACACGGCCCAGACUCCUACGGGAGGCAGCAGUGGGGAAUCUUCCGCAAUGGGCGAAAGCCUGACGGAGCAACGCCGCGUGGGUGAGGAAAGUUCUUCGGAACGUAAAGCCCUGUUGUACAUGACGAACGUGCUUUCUAUCAACAACGGGAAGCAAUGACGGUAGUGUACGAGGAAGCCACGGCUAACUACGUGCCAGCAGCCGC